CGAAUGGGGCAAGCGUUGUUCGGAAUCACUGGGCUUAAAGCGUACGCAGGCGGUCUAGCAAGUCAGAAGUGAAAGCCCUGGGCUUAACCCGGGAAUUGCUUUUGAAACUGCCAGACUAGAAUCCGAGAGAGGUUGGCGGAAUUCCGAGUGUAGAGGUGAAAUUCGCAGAUAUUCGGAGGAACACCAGUGGCGAAGGCGGCCAACUGGAUCGGUAUUGACGCUCAUGUACGAAAGCGUGGGGAUCAAACAGGAUUAGAUACCCUGGUAGUCCACGCUGUAAACGAUGUGUGCUAGUUGUCGGAGUCGUCAGACCCCGGUGACGCAGGGAAACCUUUAAGCACACCGCCUGGGGAGUACGGUCGCAAGAUUA
rnacentral:rRNA from 1 species